rnacentral:rRNA from 1 species
AACGAACGCUGGCGGCAGGCUUAACACAUGCAAGUCGAGCGCCCCGCAAGGGGAGCGGCAGACGGGUGAGUAACGCGUGGGAAUCUAACCAUCUCUACGGAAUAACGCAUGGAAACGUGUGCUAAUACCGUAUACGUCCUUCGGGAGAAAGAUUUAUCGGAGAUGGAUGAGCCCGCGUUGGAUUAGCUAGUUGGUGGGGUAAAGGGCUAUCAAGGCGACGAUCCAUAGCUGGUCUGAGAGGAUGAUCAGCCACACUGGGACUGAGACACGGCCCAGACUCCUACGGGGGGCAGCAGUGGGGAAUAUUGGAGAAUGGGCGCAAGCCUGAUCCAGCCAUGCCGCGUGAGUGAUGAAGGCCCUAGGGUUGUAAAGCUCUUUCACCGGUGAAGAUAAUGACGGUAACCGGAGAAGAAGCCCCGGCUAACUUCGUGCCAGCCGCCGCCGUAACAC